UGCAAGUCGAGCGGAUGAGUGGAGCUUGCUCCAUGAUUCAGCGGCGGACGGGUGAGUAAUGCCUAGGAAUCUGCCUGGUAGUGGGGGACAACGUUUCGAAAGGAACGCUAAUACCGCAUACGUCCUACGGGAGAAAGCAGGGGACCUUCGGGCCUUGCGCUAUCAGAUGAGCCUAGGUCGGAUUAGCUAGUUGGUGGGGUAAAGGCCUACCAAGGCGACGAUCCGUAACUGGUCUGAGAGGAUGAUCAGUCACACUGGAACUG
rnacentral:rRNA from 1 species